rnacentral:rRNA from 1 species
AAUAGAUACCCGGGUAGUCCACGCCCUAAACGAUGUCAACUGGUUGUUGGAGGGGUUCCCUUUCAGUAACGAAGCUAACGCGUGAAGUUGACCGCCUGGGGAGUACGGCCGCAAGGUUGAAACUCAAAAGGAAUUGACGGGGACCCGCACAAGCGGUGGAUGAUGUGGUUUAAUUCGAUGCAACGCGAAAAACCUUACCUACCCUUGACAUGUCUGGAAUUCUGCAGAGAUGUGGAAGUGCUCGAAAGAGAGCCAGAACACAGGUGCUGCAUGGCCGUCGUCAGCUCGUGUCGUGAGAUGUUGGGUUAAGUCCCGCAACGAGCGCAACCCUUGUCAUUAGUUGCUACGAAAGGGCACUCUAAUGAGACUGCCGGUGACAAACCGGAGGAAGGUGGGGAUGACGUCAGGUCCUCAUGGCCCUUAUGGGUAGGGCUACACACAUCAUACAAUGGCCGGGUACAGAGGGCUGCCAACCCGGCGAGGGGGAGCUAAGUCCCAGAAAACCGGUCGUAGUCCGGAUCGCAGUCUGCAACUCGCUGCGUGGUAAC